rnacentral:lncRNA from 1 species
UUCAUUUAUCACAUUCUUAAGUCAUCCAUACAUUAGGGUUAAUUUAAAUCCAAGUGCCUAAUUAAACAUGCUUUGUGUGUAUAUUUUCCUGCUUAUUUGCACAUGUAUAUUUUUGGUCUAUCUUAGGAUUGGCAUGCAAUAUGGCUGCUUUGGAAAGAAGGUCUAAAUAUAAGUCUAAGGAAUUUAACAAGAAACAUGAACCGCU